AGUGAACGCUGGCGGCGUGCUUAACACAUGCAAGUCGAACGAGAACGGAAUAUAGCUUGCUAUAUUUGUCAGCUAAGUGGCGCACGGGUGAGUAAUGUAUAGAUAACCUGCCCUUAAGAAAGGAAUAACAGUUGGAAACGACUGCUAAUGCCCUAUAUGCCUUUAAUACAUAAGUAUGCAAGGGAAACGCUUUAGUGCUUAAGGAUGGGUCUGUAUGGUAUCAGCUUGUUGGUGAGGUAAUGGCUCACCAAGGCUAUGACGCCUAACUGGUUUGAGAGGAUGAUCAGUCACACUGGAACUGAGACACGGUCCAGACUCCUACGGGUGGCAGCAGUGGCGAAUAUUGCACAAUGGACGAAAGUCUGGUGCAGCAACGCCGCGUGGAGGAUGACACAUUUCGGUGCGUAAACUCCUUUUAUAUAGGAAGAUAAUGACGGUACUAUAUGAAUAAGCACCGGCUAACUCCGUGCCAGCAGCCGCAGUAA
rnacentral:rRNA from 1 species